rnacentral:rRNA from 1 species
AUUGAACGCUGGCGGCAGGCUUAACACAUGCAAGUCGAGCGGGGUGAUGGUGCUUGCACUAUCACUUAGCGGCGGACGGGUGAGUAAUGCUUAGGAAUCUGCCUAUUAGUGGGGGACAACAUCUCGAAAGGGAUGCUAAUACCGCAUACGUCCUACGGGAGAAAGCAGGGGAUCACUUGUGACCUUGCGCUAAUAGAUGAGCCUAAGUCGGAUUAGCUAGUUGGUGGGGUAAAGGCCUACCAAGGCGACGAUCUGUAGCGGGUCUGAGAGGAUGAUCCGCGACACUGGGACUGAGACACGGCCCAGACUCCUACGGGAGGCAGCAGUGGGGAAUAUUGGACAAUGGGGGGAACCCUGAUCCAGCCAUGCCGCGUGUGUGAAGAAGGCCUUAUGGUUGUAAAGCACUUUAAGCGAGGAGGAGGCUCUUUUGGUUAAUACCCAAGAUGAGUGGACGUUACUCGCAGAAUAAGCACCGGCUAACUCUGUGCCAGCCGCCGCGGUAACAC